AUUGAACGCUGGCGGCAUGCCUUACACAUGCAAGUCGAACGGCAGCACGGGAGCAAUCCUGGUGGCGAGUGGCGAACGGGUGAGUAAAGUAUCGGAACGUGCCCAGUCGUGGGGGAUAACGUAGCGAAAGUUACGCUACUACCGCAUACGAUCUAUGGAUGAAAGCGGGGGAUCGCAAGACCUCGCUCGAUUGGAGCGGCCGAAAUCAGAUUAGGGAGUUGGUGGGGGAAAGGCUCACCAAGCCGACGAUCUGCAGCUGGUCUGAGAGGACGACCAGCCACACUGGGACUGAGACACGGCCCAGACUCCUACGGGAGGCAGCAGUGGGGAAUUUUGGACAAUGGGCGAAAGCCUGAUCCAGCCAUGCCGCGUGCAGGAUGGAGGCCUUCGGGUUGUAAACUGCUUUUGUACGGAACGAAAAGGUUUGGCCUAAUAAGCUGAGCUCAUGACGGUACCGUAAGAAUAAGCACCGGCUAACUACGUGCCAGCCGCCGCGGUAA
rnacentral:rRNA from 1 species